rnacentral:rRNA from 1 species
AACGGCCGCGGUAUACUGACCGUGCAAAGGUAGCAUAAUCAUUAGUCUUUUAAUAGAGGGCUGGUAUGAAGGGUUUAACGAGGUGUUGACUGUCUCAUUUAAUUUGAAUUUAGAAUUUAAUUUUUUAGUUAAAAAGCUGAAAUAUUAUUGGAAGACGAGAAGACCCUAUAGAGCUUUAUAUUUUUGUUAUUAAUUUAUUAUAGAUUAUUAUUAUUUAUUAUUAACAGGAAAUAUUUUGUUGGGGUGACAAAAAUAUAUAAAUAACUUUUUUAUUUUAUUUACAUUGAUAUAUGAAUAUUAGAUCCAAUCUUAUUGAUUGUUAGAUUAAGUUACCUUAGGGAUAACAGCGUAAUCCCUCUCCAGAGUUCAUAUUUACAGAGGGGCUUGCGACCUCGAUGUUGGAUUAAGAUAAUAAUUAGGUGCAGCCGCUUAAUUAAUAGGUCUGUUCGAC